rnacentral:rRNA from 1 species
GCGAUUCCCUUAGUAGCGGCGAGCGAAACGGGAACAGCCCAGCGCAUAAUCUCCCAGGCUACCAAGCCUGCGGCGAAAUUUUGCGUCAAGGGAAUGUUCGAUUACAGCCUCAUGCGCCCGUAGAUGUUGCCUAAUCGCGUCUUGAAAUAUUCGCGCAUGUUGGGUGCUACGUCUCUCGGGUCAUACGCUCAACUCACGGUACCGUGGAGGGUGCAAGCCCCGUUCGGCCACGUGUUGUUGCGUGUGAAGGUUAGAACAAAUUUCCCGGAGAGUCGCGUUGUUUGAACGUACAGCGCUAAGCAGGUGGUAAACUCCACCUAAGGCUAAACAUGUCCACAGAACCGAUAGCUAACAAGUACCGCGAGGGAAAGUUGAAAAGUACUCUGGAGAGAGGGUGCAAAGACCGUGAAACCAUCCAGGGCAAAAGCCAAUGUCAAAUAUCCUAGUUGCGCUGGGACUGUCCUUCGGGAUGCAGUUAGCUCAGAUUUAGUCGUUCGAGUAUCUUUAUGUCUUUGAUGUAUAGACUCGUUGAUUUGUCUGUAAGUUGCUGACUCGUGUGUCCAUUAACAGCCCAUCGGGAACCUUUCUGGAUCAUUCGCGGUGAAUCUCGCUUGGUCUCUGUUAUCUUACUAAGGGUAUCUGGCUGUCGAAAGCGAGCGUUCGAGAGCUAUUUCCUAGUAGCUUUACGGCGAAAGGAAUGUUCUCACGUGUCGGUGCAGAUAGUUUUCAAAGUCGAUACCUGAGGUUUCCGUUCUUUCGAGAUUCACUAUUGCGUUUACGAUUCUUGGAGAGGGUCUUUUGACGCCGUUCAGUAUGAAUUCUGGUUUGGGUGCUUUUCAAAGUAUCAACAGGUCGGAAGGAAUAUUGAUGCGUUGAGUCGGUGGUAUGCCUAGGUGACAUUGGUCACGUCUCGAAACACGGGCCAAGGAGCAUAGCGUAAAGGCAAGUCGCAAGGUUUUGCUAAACCUCGUGGCGAGUGAAAGCGAGUGAUGAAUGAUUUAUUUCGUUUGGAGGUGUCGUACAUAGAGUUCCAGCAAUGAGUCUCUAUGUGCAACUAUCGAAUUUUACGGAGCUGAUCCUCUAGUUCUUCUGAACGAAAAGGCGCAAGCUCCAGGCUUGCUCGUUGUCCGCUAACAAUUGGACUUGUCCUUUUGUUGUGGCUGAGAGAGCACUGCAUAGACUUUCCGCUAUAACCCGAAAGAUAGUGAACUAUGCUUGGCGAAGACGAAGCCCCAGGAAACUGUGGUGGAAGUCUGUAGCCGUUGUGACGUGCAAAUCCAUGGUGUCAGCUGGGCAUAGGGGCGAAAGACCAAUCGAACUAUCUAGUAGCUGGUUCCGUUCGAAGUUUCUCUCAGGAUAGCUUGCGUGAAGCAUACGCUUUUUGUCUCGGCACAUGUUCACAUAAGUGUUCGUGUGUUAACCCUGGAGUUCUGACGCAAUUGAGACGUGUGACUUGUCAACUCGUUAAUUUUCAUACUCGGAGCCUGGUUAGCGGAAGCUGUUUUUGCAGUUACGUCUGGUAAAGAGAAUGAGUAGAGUUGGCUCGUUGGUUUUAUUGCAUCAACGGCAGCGGGGCGUUCUACGCCUCGCACUAUUAUCAAACUUUAAAUGGGCGUGAAGCCUGGCAUUGACUUAACUGCUUGAUGCCAGGAACAAGUUAUGUGCGCAGAUUGUGUACAUGGAGAAUGCUCCCGCGUUAAGUGGGUCCGUUCUGGUAAGCAGAACUGAUAAUGAGGGAUGAACCUAACGUACGUGAUAAGGGGCCAAAAUGAUAGCUAUUUCUCGAAACCAUUGGAAAGGUGUUGCUUGCUGAAGACAGCAGGACGGUGGUCAUGGAAGUUGACAUCCGCUAAGGAGUGUGUAACAACUCAUCCUGCCGAAGCGAGUAACCCUGAAAAUGGAUGGCUCUAUAGCUCUCUCCCGAUGCACGACCGUUAAUGGCGCGAGAGAUCUUGUGUCUCAAUGCUUUAACGAGUAGAAUGGCGUGCUGGUAAGCGUUGAAGGCCUUUGCGUGAGCUUGGCCCGAGCUGCCAGCAGUGCAGAUCUUGGUGGUAGUAGCAAGUACUCUGGUGAACAACCUUGAGCUGUGAGGUUGAUAAGGGUUCCAUGUCAACAGCGUUUGAACAUGGGUAAGCCGGUCCUAAGCUACCUUUAUGUGUUGAAGGUGAAGGCUAAUGCGAAAGUAUGCGUUUUUGAGUUCUGUACACCUGAGGCGUUGGAAGAAAUCAAUAGUUGAUACGAAAGCCUGAAGUGAAUCUUUCAGAUUUGCACUGACUGGUUAGUAGAGUCCUAGGUUCGGAAGCCGCAACUCUGGUAUCUGUUCCAGAAACUCAAAGCGUUACUUAAGCGUAGCUUGGCGAAAGGGAAAUGUGAACUCAGUUCAUAUGCCUCUCCUGGCACCCUGAAACGGUUUACCGUAACACGGACCUAGCAAUAGUUGCCAGGUCAGUCGUUGUCAUAAGUAGCUCAGCGGGGAGAUUUCUUCUCUCUUUGAUAAGGCUUAUAGCUCUGAAAACACCUCGCGUGGCGGAAGAGCGAUGCCUUGUAUAGCAGAGUACUCUGCUCCCUCGAGUAGACUGACGCUACUUGUGAUCCGUGAAAAGGUGACCGAGGGGAUACAUUGAUUGUGUACGCAAUGACUAGUAGUUUCAGAAACUUGCGUGCCGUCGUAUGUCAAUAGUUCGCUAUUGCGCCUACGAUCGUGAGUCUGAAGCGAAUGUUGUUGCGUGUAUGCACUUUACUCGAGUGUUAGCCAUGGAGUGACCGUACCCAUUUCCGCAUCCGUCUCAAA